UACGGGGGGGGCGAGCGUUGUUCGGAAUUACUGGGCGUAAAGGGUUCGUAGGUGGCUUGCUAAGUCAGACGUGAAAUCCCUCGGCUCAACCGGGGAAUUGCGUCUGAAACUGGCGAGCUUGAGUGCAGGAGAGGAACGCGGAAUUCCAGGUGUAGCGGUGAAAUGCGUAGAUAUCUGGAGGAACACCGGUGGCGAAGGCGGCGUUCUGGACUGCAACUGACACUGAGGAACGAAAGCCAGGGUAGCAAACGGG
rnacentral:ncRNA from 2 species